UACGUAGGGCGCGAGCGUUGUCCGGAAUUAUUGGGCGUAAAGAGCUCGUAGGCGGCCUGUUGCGUCCGCUGUGAAAUCCCAGGGCUUAACCCUGGGCGUGCAGUGGAUACGGGCAGGCUGGAGGCAGGCAGGGGAGAACGGAAUUCCCGGUGUAGCGGUGAAAUGCGCAGAUAUCGAGAGGAACACCUGCGGCGAAGGCGGGUUGCUGGGCUGACACUGACGCUGAGGCGCGAAAGCUAGGGGAGCGAACGGG
rnacentral:rRNA from 1 species